rnacentral:rRNA from 1 species
UACAGAGGUCCCAAGCGUUGUUCGGAUUCACUGGGCGUAAAGGGUGUGUAGGUGGCGCGCUAAGUCGGGUGUGAAAUUUCGGAGCUUAACUCUGAAACUGCAUUCGAUACUGGCGUGCUUGAGGACUGGAGAGGAGACUGGAAUUCAUGGUGUAGCAGUGAAAUGCGUAGAGAUCAUGAGGAAGACCAGUGGCGAGGGCGGGUCUCUGGACAGUUCCUGACACUGAGACACGAAGGCCAGGGGAGCAAACGGG